CGGCGAUGUCCGAAUGGGGAAACCCAGUGCAAUUCGUUGCACUAUCGUUAACUGAAUACAUAGGUUAACGAGGCGAACCGGGGGAACUGAAACAUCUAAGUACCCCGAGGAAAAGAAAUCAACCGAGAUUCCCCCAGUAGCGGCGAGCGAACGGGGAGCAGCCCAGAGUCUGAAUCAGCUUGUGUGUUAGUGGAACGGUCUGGAAAGUCCGACGGUACAGGGUGAUAGUCCCGUACACCAAAAUGCACAGGCUGUGAACUCGAAGAGUAGGGCGGGACACGUGGUAUCCUGUCUGAAUAUGGGGGGACCAUCCUCCAAGGCUAAAUACUCCUGACUGACCGAUAGUGAACCAGUACCGUGAGGGAAAGGCGAAAAGAACCCCGGCGAGGGGAGUGAAAAAGAACCUGAAACCGUGUACGUACAAGCAGUGGGAGCACCUUCGGGUGUGACUGCGUACCUUUUGUAUAAUGGGUCAGCGACUUAUAUUCUGUAGCAAGGUUAACCGUAUAGGGGAGCCGCAGGGAAACCGAGUCUUAACUGGGCGUUAAGUUGCAGGGUAUAGACCCGAAACCCGGUGAUCUAGCCAUGGGCAGGUUGAAGGUUGGGUAACACUAACUGGAGGACCGAACCGACUAAUGUUGAAAAAUUAGCGGAUGACUUGUGGCUGGGGGUGAAAGGCCAAUCAAACCGGGAGAUAGCUGGUUCUCCCCGAAAGCUAUUUAGGUAGCGCCUCGUGAAUUCAUCUUCGGGGGUAGAGCACUGUUUCGGCUAGGGGGUCAUCCCGACUUACCAACCCGAUGCAAACUACGAAUACCGAAGAAUGUUAUCACGGGAGACACACGGCGGGUGCUAACGUCCGUCGUGAAGAGGGAAACAACCCAGACCGCCAGCUAAGGUCCCAAAGUCAUGGUUAAGUGGGAAACGAUGUGGGAAGGCACAGACAGCCAGGAUGUUGGCUUAGAAGCAGCCAUCAUUUAAAGAAAGCGUAAUAGCUCACUGGUCGAGUCGGCCUGCGCGGAAGAUGUAACGGGGCUAAACCAUGCACCGAAGCUGCGGCAGCGACACUAUGUGUUGUUGGGUAGGGGAGCGUUCUGUAAGCCUGCGAAGGUGACCUGUGAGGGUUGCUGGAGGUAUCAGAAGUGCGAAUGCUGACAUAAGUAACGAUAAAGCGGGUGAAAAGCCCGCUCGCCGGAAGACCAAGGGUUCCUGUCCAACGUUAAUCGGGGCAGGGUGAGUCGACCCCUAAGGCGAGGCCGAAAGGCGUAGUCGAUGGGAAACAGGUUAAUAUUCCUGUACUUGGUGUUACUGCGAAGGGGGGACGGAGAAGGCUAUGUUAGCCGGGCGACGGUUGUCCCGGUUUAAGCAUGUAGGCUGGUUAUCCAGGCAAAUCCGGAUAAUCAAGGCUGAGGUGUGAUGACGAGGCACUACGGUGCUGAAGUAACAAAUGCCCUGCUUCCAGGAAAAGCCUCUAAGCAUCAGGUAACAUCAAAUCGUACCCCAAACCGACACAGGUGGUCAGGUAGAGAAUACCAAGGCGCUUGAGAGAACUCGGGUGAAGGAACUAGGCAAAAUGGUGCCGUAACUUCGGGAGAAGGCACGCUGGUGUGUAGGUGAAGUCCCUGCGGAUGGAGCUGAGACCAGUCGAAGAUACCAGCUGGCUGCAACUGUUUAUUAAAAACACAGCACUGUGCAAACACGAAAGUGGACGUAUACGGUGUGACGCCUGCCCGGUGCCGGAAGGUUAAUUGAUGGGGUUAUCCGUAAGGAGAAGCUCUUGAUCGAAGCCCCGGUAAACGGCGGCCGUAACUAUAACGGUCCUAAGGUAGCGAAAUUCCUUGUCGGGUAAGUUCCGACCUGCACGAAUGGCGUAAUGAUGGCCAGGCUGUCUCCACCCGAGACUCAGUGAAAUUGAACUCGCUGUGAAGAUGCAGUGUACCCGCGGCAAGACGGAAAGACCCCGUGAACCUUUACUAUAGCUUGACACUGAACAUUGAGCCUUGAUGUGUAGGAUAGGUGGGAGGCUUUGAAGCGUGGACGCCAGUCUGCGUGGAGCCAACCUUGAAAUACCACCCUUUAAUGUUUGAUGUUCUAACGUUGGCCCCUUACCGGGGUUGCGGACAGUGUCUGGUGGGUAGUUUGACUGGGGCGGUCUCCUCCCAAAGCGUAACGGAGGAGCACGAAGGUUAGCUAAUCCUGGUCGGACAUCAGGAGGUUAGUGCAAUGGCAUAAGCUAGCUUGACUGCGAGCGUGACGGCGCGAGCAGGUGCGAAAGCAGGUCAUAGUGAUCCGGUGGUUCUGAAUGGAAGGGCCAUCGCUCAACGGAUAAAAGGUACUCCGGGGAUAACAGGCUGAUACCGCCCAAGAGUUCAUAUCGACGGCGGUGUUUGGCACCUCGAUGUCGGCUCAUCACAUCCUGGGGCUGAAGUAGGUCCCAAGGGUAUGGCUGUUCGCCAUUUAAAGUGGUACGCGAGCUGGGUUUAGAACGUCGUGAGACAGUUCGGUCCCUAUCUGCCGUGGGCGCUGGAGAAUUGAGGGGGGCUGCUCCUAGUACGAGAGGACCGGAGUGGACGCAUCACUGGUGUUCGGGUUGUCAUGCCAAUGGCACUGCCCGGUAGCUAAAUGCGGAAGAGAUAAGUGCUGAAAGCAUCUAAGCACGAAACUUGCCCCGAGAUGAGUUCU
rnacentral:rRNA from 1 species